rnacentral:rRNA from 1 species
UACGAAGGUGGCAAGCGUUGUUCGGAUUUACUGGGCGUACAGGGAGCGUAGGCGGUUGGAUAAGCCCUCCGUGAAAUCUCCAGGCUUAACCUGGAAAGUGCAGAGGGGACUGUUCAGCUAGAGGAUGGGAGAGGAGCGCGGAAUUCCCGGUGUAGCGGUGAAAUGCGCAGAUAUCAGGAAGAACACCCGUGGCGAAGGCGGCUCUCUGGGACGGUACUGACGCUGAGACGCGAAAGCGUGGGGAGCGAACAGG